CCCGAAAGAUCGAAUGGGGAGAUUCAUCGUCAGCGAUAUUGGCUUCCGUGUGGUUUGCGAUGUCCGGUGCCUUAGGGCGUUCCGUCGACACGCGUCUACUGCGGUAUGUCCGAUAACGUCGGCGUGCACUUCUCCCCUAGUAGAACGUCGCGACCCGCUGGGUGUCGGUUUACGGGCCCUGUGCUAGACUGUCCCGUCUUGUACGGUGCCAGACACUGGGACAUUCCCGACCGGCUGCUUGGCGGUACUCGCACGGUAUCGAGCCGCACAAAUAUUUAUUGAACUGCGUUCCAGGCCCGUUGCAAGCUCGCCCAUGUGUACUGGAGGUGCGGACCUAGUGCCGUCCCCGGAACUGGACAGCUGUUGGUCGACGGUGUUCUCGAACUGGCUUAUUUGUGAUAUCGGUCUGCGACGCUAUUGCUUUGGGUACUUUCAGGACCCGUCUUGAAACACGGACCAAGGAGUCUAACAUGUGCGCGAGUCAUUGGGAUCGCAAAGCCUAAAGGCGUAUUGAAAGAGAAGGCCGGCCUCGCGUCGGCCGAGGGAGGAUGGGCCGCGUCAAGAUGCGGCUCCGCACUCCCGGGGCGUCUCGUACUCAUUGCGAGUUGAGGCGCACCCAGAGCGUACACGUUGGGACCCGAAAGAUGGUGAACUAUGCCUGGUCAGGACGAAGUCAGGGGAAACCCUGAUGGAGGUCCGUAGCGAUUCUGACGUGCAAAUCGAUCGUCGGAACUGGGUAUAG
rnacentral:rRNA from 1 species